rnacentral:SRP_RNA from 1 species
GCCGGGCGUGGUGGCUCAAGCCUGUAAUCCCAGCUACUUGGGAAGCUGAGGCAGGGAAUCGCUUGAACCCGGGAGGUGGAGGUUGCAGUGAGCCGAAAUUACACCACUGCACUCCAGCCUGGACAAGAGCAAAACUCUGUCUACAAAAAAAAAAAAAAAAAAAAAAAAAAAAANNNNNNNNNNGUGUGCCACCACACGCAGCUGAUUUUUUUUUUUUUUUUUUUUUUUUUUUUGUAGACAGAGUUUUGCUCUUGUCCAGGCUGGAGUGCAGUGGUGUAAUUUCGGCUCACUGCAACCUCCACCUCCCGGGUUCAAGCGAUUCCCUGCCUC